rnacentral:rRNA from 1 species
GGCGGACGGGUGAGUAACACGUGGGUAACCUCGCCCUUAAGUGGGGGAUAACAUUUGGAAACAGAUGCUAAUACCGCAUAGAUCCAAGAACCGCAUGGUUCUUGGCUGAAAGAUGGCGUAAGCUAUCGCUUUUGGAUGGACCCGCGGCGUAUUAGCUAGUUGGUGAGGUAAUGGCUCACCAAGGCGAUGAUACGUAGCCGAACUGAGAGGUUGAUCGGCCACAUUGGGACUGAGACACGGCCCAAACUCCUACGGGAGGCAGCAGUAGGGAAUCUUCCACAAUGGACGCAAGUCUGAUGGAGCAACGCCGCGUGAGUGAAGAAGGCUUUCGGGUCGUAAAACUCUGUUGUUGGAGAAGAAUGGUCGGCAGAGUAACUGUUGUCGGCGUGACGGUAUCCAACCAGAAAGCCACGGCUAACUACGUGCCAGCAGCCGCGGUAAUACGUAGGUGGCAAGCGUUAUCCGGAUUUAUUGGGCGUAAAGCGAGCGCAGGCGGUUUUUUAAGUCUGAUGUGAAAGCCCUCGGCUUAACCGAGGAAGCGCAUCGGAAACUGGGAAACUUGAGUGCAGAAGAGGACAGUGGAACUCCAUGUGUAGCGGUGAAAUGCGUAGAUAUAUGGAAGAACACCAGUGGCGAAGGCGGCUGUCUGGUCUGUAACUGACGCUGAGGCUCGAAAGCAUGGGUAGCGAACAGGAUUAGAUACCCUGGUAGUCCAUGCCGUAAACGAUGAAUGCUAGGUGUUGGAGGGUUUCCGCCCUUCAGUGCCGCAGCUAACGCAUUAAGCAUUCCGCCUGGGGAGUACGACCGCAAGGUUGAAACUCACAGGAAUUGACGGGGGCCCGCACAAGCGGUGGAGCAUGUGGUUUAAUUCUAAGCAACGCGAAGAACCUUACCAGGUCUUGACAUCUUUUGAUCA